CGGCUCUCAGCCCAAGUCACAGACUCUUAAAACGUAAAAAGAUCUUGGAGAUGAUGGGCUUAAUCAUUUCCUUUUAGAGUGGGAGAAAAUGAAACCAAAGUUACAAAAUAGUUGCAAUAUUGGGAGAUUCCAGUGUUCAAAGCUCUUUUCAGUACAUCAUGUUGCCUCAAUCAGAUGGUUUUGUUUCAUUUUAUUAGAUGUGAACUCAAAUUAAUUGAGACUUUCCUCCAGAUGCUCAAAUUUAAGAAAAAAAUUAGUAUUAAAUUUUGUCCAGUGAGCAAUUAAUCUUCAUUUGUAAAUUAAACUUAAGAAUCAUUUUUCAAUUGCAUAAGUUUGAAUCAAAAAAUUUUUAAAUAAAAAGGUAUUGAACAUCUACUUUAUGUAAAACAAAGGGCCAGUAUACUUUGUAAAAUGGACCAUGUUACCAACCCACAGGUAAUGUUCCAUCUUAGAAAUCUGUGACAGGCAAAAAUGUCCCAGUUGUUUUUAUUUAAAGACUAAUUAUUAACUUGAUGCUGUUCUAUUGGGAAACUUGUCUGUUUCUACAUGGUGUUUUGUUUCUUCAAUUUUCUACUAGAGUAUUUGCCUUGUUUUAAAUCCUUCAUUGAUGUAUGACUCCACUGAUACAACUGCCAAUGGAAGGUGUUCAUUUAACUUAUUUAAAUAGUUGGAACACAACUGAGUUGUCUGAGAGGAUUUCCUAAAUUGCUUCAUAAACAUGUUCAAAGGACUUAUUUUUUUUCUUCUCAAGUAUUAGGCAGAUACCAAAUAUAAAGCUAUAUUGCUUAGUGUGUCAAAACUCCAUGCUGUAAUUACUAACUUGUUUUCCUACUUGCAAGUUAAAAAGGUCUUUUAAAAGGCACAAAUUCUAACAGCUCUAGGUAGCAUUUAUUUUUGUCAAAAUGACAUUAAAACACCUUUUUCUUUUGACAAAAGACCAUAGUCACACAUUAUACAACAAUCUGAAAAUACUGACAAGCAAAAAUGUUCUGAAAACAUUUAUAAUUUCACCAUUGGAGACUUAAUAACUUGAUGUACAGUUUUCCAGACCUUUUUCUAGGACAUAUGAAUCAUAUUAUGUAUGUAGAUGAGUGUUUUAGUUGAAAAGACCCUCACUUUGUGCACUUUAACAGUAUUUAGCACAGGAUCUGGGGCUCUUAGGCUUUUUGGGAAGAAGGAAGCAUUAUUAAACAUGAGAUUACUUUCUGA
rnacentral:lncRNA from 10 species